GGCCUGUUAGCUCAGUCAGUUGAGCAUGGUGCUGAUAACACCUAGGUUGCGAGUUCGAUCCCUGUUCGGUCCC
rfam:Apaloderma vittatum contig47949, whole genome shotgun sequence.